UCGGGAAUUUUGGGCAAUGGGCGCAAGCCUGAUCCAGCCAUGCCGCGUGAGUGACGAAGGCCUUAGGGUUGUAAAGCUCUUUUGUCGGGGACGAUAAUGACGGUACCCGAAGAAUAAGCUCCGGCUAACUUCGUGCCAGCAGCCGCGGUAAUACGAAGGGAGCUAGCGUUGUUCGGAAUCACUGGGCGUAAAGCGCACGUAGGCGGAUUUGUAAGUCAGGGGUGAAAUCCCGGGGCUCAACCUCGGAACUGCCUCUGAUACUGGCUGUCUCGAGGUCGAGAGAGGUUGGUGGAAUUCCUAGUGUAGAGGUGAAAUUCGUAGAUAUUAGGAAGAACACCAGUGGCGAAGGCGGCCAACUGGCUCGAUACUGACGCUGAGGUGCGAAAGCGUGGGGAGCAAACAGGAUUAGAUACCCACGUAGUCCCUGAGCGGGCUGGCAAGGCGCAU
rnacentral:rRNA from 1 species